rnacentral:lncRNA from 1 species
CAGGAUGGAUACCGGGCAACCUGAACAAGGGUCACCUAGAUUGGUUUUACUUCCUCUUAGCUGGACUAACAACAAUUGACUUGAUUGUCUACAUAGCAUGCGCCCGAUGGUACAAGAGUAUCAAGCUGGAAGGAAAAACUGCAGAAAAUAUUGACGACCAAGUUAGCUUUAAACUAUAAUAUAUACAUAUCGGUGCUAAAACAUAUAAAUCACGGUAUAGAUUAAUAGAAUAAUGAGGAAACUGGGUUAGAGGGUUAGUCCCCAACAUGAUGAUGUUGAGAAAUUAAAGAUUUAAGUCGAAAGAAAAGUGGGGUAUCGUGAGAGAGAAAUCAAUUUUCCUCUCAACUCUCUUGAAUUCCCAUCACUUGAAUUGUCCUGUCUGUUUGUAAAUAUGCAGAAUGUUAUCUGCAUAAAAGAGCUUUCUCUUGGACUUUAAUGAAAGUGUAAUUUUCCUCCGCCUAUUAGAUCUAUCCAUCAUCCAUGUAAGCUUCUUGAGUAUUUUCGAUAGAAUACAUUUUCAAUAAUGCAAAGAGGAGAGUGCUUACCUUGCGAGAAAGCUAGGCCCAAGUUGUGAUGGAAAAUGGGACCUAUAUAACUACACUGAGCCCAAUAGAGAUAACAAAAUGGGCCAAGCUAUAGUCAAAGAUUUUGACAGUUGACACGCUCCCCUUUUAACCCUUUCUGUGGGGGAAAACAUAAUUGGCACAAUG